rnacentral:lncRNA from 1 species
AGAGAAUGGUAGGAGCUGCAAUUCCUCCAAACAUUCAUAUUCAAAAAAGCCCCCAAAGCCAGGUGUGGUGUUGCAGGCCUAUUACCCCAGCCCUCAGGAGGCUGAGGCAGGAAGAUCAUGAGGCUGAGGCCAGAAAAAGAAAAAAAAAAAAACUGGGUAAGGGCUAAGAAAAGGCACAAUUUCAGGGGGCCAUAUCAGGUUCUGGCCUCUUACUUUAAAACCCAUGUAUGUGUGAAGAAAGCAUCUUAGAAAUCAAGUACCAGUCUUUCUUGGGGAAGCAGAUGCUGGUAGUAAGGUGUGACAGGAAGUGUGGUGAGAUUGCAUAGGACAUGGUGGGUACAGAGAAAAUCAUUACUCCCCUCAAGUAUGUUCCAGGACUUGUCAGGAAGGGCUUCCAAGAGGAGAAACUGCUUUAGUGAAAAACUAAUAGUGACCGGAAAAUAAAGAGUGUAAGGAAGAUGUUCAGGCAGGGGAAUGGAGCUAGCAGUAGCAUGGAGGUGGUAAACAGCAGACAGCUGCCCCAGGUUGGGGUUUUCUUAUCUGCUCCCUGUUGCAUGAUCACCCAUGUUUCUGGAGACUUAGUGUCCCAACAUGAACAGAUGAGAGAUCUGGGUCCAGGCUGCUUCUCACCUGACUUCCCACUGCCCUCAGGCACCUGGUAAAUGCUGGAGUCCUCACUGUCCGUGAUGCUGGAAGCUGGUGGCUAGCUGUGCCUGGAGCUGGGAGAUUCAUCAAGUGCUUUGUUAAAGGUCUGCAGCUUGAGCUCUCAGCUACUCAGGAGUAUCCUUUGAUGACUCUUUAGGCUUUAUUCACCUUUUCCCUUUCCUGUGCCACCUCUCCUCCAGGGCGCCAGGCUGUCCUUGGCAUGGUCCGGAAGGCCAAGUACCGGGAGCUACUCCUGUCAGAGCUCCUGGGCCGUCGGGCACCUGGCGCAGUGCGGCUUGGUCUUGCCUACCAUGUUCAUGACCUCAUUGGAGCCCAGCUGGUGGACUGUGUCUCUACCACUUCUGGAACUCUCCUCCGCCUGCCAGAGACAUGAGGAUUCUACUUGUUUCUGCUCACUGCCUUGGAGUGGGACUAGAGGGUCCUGGGAAUGCUACCUAAUGUGGUUGAGCCUGGGUCACCUUGGGAAGCCUGGGUACCAGGAUGAGUGCUUGCUGGGCUAUCGUGGGUAA